CCCCCGACCCCCCGAUCCCUCGGGCCGCCCCGGCUGCGGGCUGCUGCGAGCCGGGCUGGCGGGACGCGGGGGAGGCGCACGGCGCGGCGCGGGGAGCGGCCAGGUCCCUUCAUUCAGAGGGCAUUUAUUGGGUCGCUGGCUGCAGCACUAUAAGAAGGCUGCAAAGGAAAUGGAAGAUCCGGCCUUUGCAGGAGUUUGCAAUCGAGCUAGCAACGCAGGCAUACAUACAAGGAACAGCUAGAAAAUAGCCUUCGGGUGUUGUGUAAGCAAAAAGAGAGAGAAGUUUACCUGCCAGCCACUGUAUUCAAUGAAGUAUGAGCACCACCGUCAGGACACCUGAAGGUGAUCAUUGUUCAAGUAUUGAUACAGUUCCUACUGACAUGCCAACUUACAACUUGGGGCCAACUGUUUACAUCAGUUCUGAAAGAGAGCAGCUGCUAAGGUUAAUUACAUAUAGUGGAGAACUAGCCAUGUGACCUUCUGCAGGGAACUACAGAUUUCAUAGCCUCCUUUCUUCUCCACUGGCAUGGAGGCAGGACUGGGAUGCUGCUUGGAGAUCUGUCAGUUCUGAAAUCCCAGACCUUUGUUGGAAUUCCUGCAUUUGACCUUUCUGAGAGUGAAGAGCUCAAGAUUUUCAGGAACUCACAAAAAAAGCCUUUUGGACCCAGUGGAAUGAAGUGCCUGCAGAGGCCAAAAGAGGGUAUCAGAUUCCCCUGGAACUGGCAUUUAGUUGGUUGUAAUGGAGCCAUGUGGGUGCUGGGGAUCAAACCUGGGUUCCCUGGAAAAGGAGCCAGGGAUCUAAAUCACUGAGCCAUCUCUUCAGCCGCAGAGAAAAGUAUUUCAAAGAAGGCCCCCUUUGUGUGAGUCAGUCACGGUCGACUCCCAGAAGCCUGGAAAACCACACUUGAAAAGUUUCUGAACUGAACUGAAGUUGCCUCCACCAAGCUUGAUUACUACAAAGAGGAGAUGGCUCCUGCUUCUUCCUGAGGAAACAGUUGACUCUGAAACCACCGAGAACACGGGGUGUGGAGGAGAGAUUUCUACCACUUGUGGCUGUUUUAUGCUUCCCCAGUCUUAAGCCUCCCAUGGAGUCUGAAGAGCCAGGCUGGUGAGCCACAGAAGCACACCCAUCACUGUGCCUUCAAGGCCAGUCUGGUCUACAUAGGGAGUUCCCAAACAGCAAGGACUACAUAGACUGACCCUGACUUUAAAAGGAGGAAAAGAAAAAAGCAGGUGCCAUGGUACACACUGUUAAUCCCAGCACUGGCACUUCCAGGACAGGCAGCAGAGCUACGUGGUGAGACCCUGUCUCACAAAAGAGAAAGAGAGAUGUGGGGAAGGAGAAAGAAAAGAGGGGAUGUGUAAAGGGUCAAAGGUAGGGCAAUGUGUAUGUGCUGGGAAUUAUUAGGAGAGUUGUAGGCCGGGAAUGUUAUGGGGGGACUGACUGCCGAGCAGUGGGCAUAGGAAACCGAGAGGUAUUAUUAGAAGCCCCAUAGAAAGGUUUAGUGUGCAUGGCUUGGAGGUCAAGCACCUGCUGUUUGGGUGGUUAAGCAGGGCAGAUUUGCUCAACAUUCUAAGCUCAUAAACCCCAGCUUCCUUUGGAAGGUAGAUGGAGGCUCUGAAGAAAGGAGAGAGAAAAAAAUCCGUAACAGAGGGAAAAUAAAACUAUUCUAUGCAUGCAGGUGGGGAGGAAGGGAGAAAAAGAGCAAAUUCUGUGUGUGUAUGUGUGUGUGUUGUAUAUGUGCCUGCCUCUGUGUGUUCAUGUAUGUGUGGGUGGGUGCUGUAUACGUGCUUCUGUGUGUGCAUGUGUACACAUCUCUCUGUGUGUAUGUGUGUUAUAUAUGUGCCUCUGUGUGUGCAUGUACCUCUCUCUCACUCACUCUCUCUCUCUCUGUGUAUGUUGGUUGGUUGAUUAAAACUGAACUGAGAGCCUUGGGCUUCACUAGGAAAGAGCACCAACCAUGAGCUAUGCCCCCAGAUUCUGUAUUUCUUUUUUAUAAAGCAUCUCUGAGACACCUCUGAGGAGAUAAAUCUUUUUAGAUGUGAGUGGGAGAGUCUGAAGUGACAAGGAACACUGCAUUGCUCUCAUGUGUUGUGGCUGAUGGAAGGUAGUCCAAGCUCUGUGGAGGGCAACCUUAAGUGUUCUUGCAAAAUUAUGAAUGCACACACGUAGCCUUGUAGCUCUAUGCUACAGAUAUUUAAUAUCUGUUAAAUAUAGUUAAGUGUUUACCAAUAUCUAAUUGUAAAAUGGCAUGUGGGCAAAGUUCUUGUCACAACACUAGACAAAAAAAAAAAACAAAAAACAAAAAUAUGGAAAUGACCUAAAGGUUCAUCAGUAUGACAUGCUCUAUCAGUAAAUUAUGAUACAUCUGUACACUGACCACUGGAGCAAUUGAAAACUGCAAGAAGGAAGUUUGUAACGUAUAAUACGGGGUGAUCUUCUUGAUAUAGUGGCAAAUGAAACAAAAGAUGCCUGUGAGGAUAAGAGAAUACUAUGCCACAUAAUUUCAGCAAAAAAGAAAAAAUAGUAAAAGGAAGUACGAGCAUCUGUAUUGGCUGUUAUAACUGAAUAGAAAUCCCUGGCUAUGGGACAGGAGCAUAGAAACAACAGAAAGGAAAGGGGAUGGCAAGGCAUUUUAAUGCUUGUUUGAAAAUCUUUAUUUAAUUGGUUUUAUGGGGAUGAGUGUUUUGCCUGCAUGUAUGUAAGUGCAUCACGUGUGGCCCGGUGCCAGCAGAGGUCAACAUCUUUCCUAGAACCAGAGUGUGAGCCGGAAUGAGUUUGUGUGCCCCGUGUGUGAUUCGGGUGCCUGAUUAGGCCAGAAGAGUUGGAUGCCCUGGAACUGGAGUUACAGUUGGCCGUGAGCUGCUGUAUAGAUGCUUGGAACUGAACCCGAGUCCUCCACAAGAAGAGCCAGUGCUCCUAACCGCUGAGCUGUCUCCCUGGGUCCACAUUUUAAUGUUUUAGCCAAGCUGCAGCCUCUGUGAUAAAUUAGCUUUUCAAAACUUUAGGAGGCCAGGGAGGCCAGGCCUGGCUUCUUCUAAUCCCAGCACUUGGGAGGGUGAGUCUGAGGCAGGACGGUGGCAAGCUCCAUGAGCUACAGAGCAAAUCCCUCUCCCAGAAUCAACAACCAAAAUUAAGUGAAGUUAAGCAAAACUUUUUAGAGAUUAAAAAAAUAAGGGUAAUGAAGCUACAGCUGGUUCCAUGUUUAUGUGACAAUUUUCUUAUAUGUACAAUGGAGUAGAUAAUUCUACCUGCCUCAAGAAGGGUGUGAGGAUUCAAAACAGCAUCCAACUUCCAGCAGCAUGGAUAAGUGUCUGGGACAUAGUCAGUAAAUACAUCUGGUUAUCAUUAUUCUUCUGUGUGUGGUGCUGUGAGCCCAGUACUUGCGGAAACAGGAGGAUCUGUGGUUUAAGGUCAUUCUUGGUUACACAGUGAGUUUGAGGCUCUGUAAGAUCCUCGCUCAAUGACCAACAACAAAAUGAUCCCUUCAUUUAGUAAUUGUGUGGCCUCAGGUUAAAAGAAAAAAAAAUUAUUCUGAUUAUCAUCAUCCUUCUCUCAUACAUAAUGGAGUACAUGGAGAAAAGAAGUUGAGAAUUAUGGGAACUAUGAAGGGAGGAUGUAGAAGAGGUUAUAAAAACAAUAUUUAGCUCCCAAGAAGUUACUGGGGGGAUCUGUAUCAUUGAACCCUGGGUGUGCCUGGCUCUUCCUUACAGAAUUAACAAAGAAGUCUCUCCUGGCUCUCACACCUUGUACUUCUCUUCUGAGGUUCCGGGAUGCAAAACAGGGAUGCUAAUUGGUCUGUCUGCGGUAGGUGCCAGCCUCUGGAUGGAUCAGCAACAGGCACAAGAGAAAUAACGAAGUUCACAGUUUCUACAUUAAUACAUUCCAAAACCUGUCCCCUAUUAUGCAGUGCAAACGAGAACAGAUGGGGAAAAGUUAUGUUGGAAAGGGCUUUGGAGGGCCACAGAGAAGAGAAAUAUGACUACUCAAUGUGUCACACACCAACUUGGAGCUGCCACCAGCCCUCCCCCACACGAGCUGCGGAUGGAACCAGCCCGUGGAGCUCAGAAGGAGCAGGCGUACUGCAGGAAGGGAGUGCAAUUAGAGAACAUUCGCUGCGUUUGUGCUGCCUCGAAAAUAUGAAUAAAGAGCGGUGUAGCAGCUCAGCCAACAAAAGAGAACUCAGGCCCAAGGCUGGUCUGCAAAAUACUUUGCUGCACCCCAAGCUAUCCCACAUGUGAACCAGUAAUUGGUGCCACGCAGCUUUUCUGCAUCAAAGAGAUGCCUCUGCAUGUCUCAGGGUUGCAUUCAGGCCUCUCUGUGUCUAGAACUUGUUUUCAGAGGGUCAUACUGGCGCACAUGGGUUUCGCAGCCUUCCGGUAAGUAUUUUGCUGUUGUCACCGAGUGCUUACGAGUUCCCCAAAUAUUUCAAGCUCUGUCAAUCACAAUCUGGCAGAGGCCCCAGGGAGGUCACCCAACUUCUCUGAGCUGGAGAUCCCACAUACAUGUAGCAGAGGUUGCCGGUCUUCUUGCAGGCUUUCGAUAUUUGGGGCAUUGUAUGCAAAUAACUGACUUGUAUGUUGCUCAAUUAGUGGCAAAUGUUAUUACUGUGACGAUCAGAAAGCACUGAAAUGUUCUCUUUUCUCGAUCCAAUGUAAGUUGCUAAGAAUAUAUUCUUAGCCAUAUGUGUAUAUAUACAUAUAUGUAUAUGCAUAUAUGUAUAUGGAAAUGGCUAAGAAGCUAAGAAUUUAUGCUCGGAGUAAUUACAAGGUUAAGAUCAUUUCAGGGACUGGAGUAUCUCUCCAAUGUGCAUCACCUCUGGCUCAAUACACAGGAACAUCCCUACCUACCCCCCAAAGAAAGCGAAAAGGUUCAUGUGGUUUAGAUUAUUUGAUUCAAACAGCGAGUGAUUAAGGCCAUGGAGAUGGCAUCUAUGAAGAAAUGCUAAUGUCGCCAACAGUUGGGCAAUUGACUCCAGCAGGAAACUCUUCCAAAACUGUACCUCUCAGUGUAGAGUGAGUGUGCAAACACGUGGUGUCACUUUGAUAAAGGGAUGAAAUUUCCUUACAGCAGCAUUUUAAACGCCGUUAGUUACCCAACCCUGCCUCGGAGUGUAUUUUCAGUGUAUCUAGAGUAGAGCUGGGAGCCACAGUUAAGAUAAAAAUGAUUUGGCCAGCAAGAUGGCUCAGCCGGGUAGCGGUACCUGCCGUCUGAAAACGUAAGUUCGAUCCUACUGGGUGGAAAGAGAGAGAGAGAUUUGGCUUCUACAGGUUGUUCUCUGAUCUCUAUACAGGUGCGCGCAUGCCCCCAAUAAAUAAAUAAAUAAAUGUAACUUUAAAAGAUUAAGAUGACUGGGGUUGGGGUGGCUAAGUGGCCCAGUGGGUAAAGGCACUACUUGUUUUACGGGCCUGAGGACCGUGGAAGGGGAGAACCAACUCAAGUUUGGAAACUGCCCUUUGACCUCCAAAUCCAGGCCCUGACACUCUCUUGCCCCAUGAAUAAUAAAUAGAAUUUAAAAUUAUUACUUA